rnacentral:snoRNA from 1 species
UUCACUUACUUUCACAUUGAAAGAAAGCCACAUACACCCGCGUUGAUGAGUUGGAUCGUUCUAUUCGGCAGCGUGAGGUAUUUCGCAGUGCCCUCUUUGGGGGCGCAGCGUUUCGAUGAUCGCUCGG